GACGGGGGGGGCAAGUGUUCUUCGGAAUGACUGGGCGUAAAGGGCACGUAGGCGGUGAAUCGGGUUGAAAGUGAAAGUCGCCAAAAAAGUGGCGGAAUGCUCUCGAAACCAAUUCACUUGAGUGAGACAGAGGAGAGUGGAAUUUCGUGUGUAGGGGUGAAAUCCGUAGAUCUACGAAGGAACGCCAAAAGCGAAGGCAGCUCUCUGGGUCCCCCACUGGACGCUGGGGUGCGAAAGCAUGGGGAGCGAACAGG
rnacentral:rRNA from 1 species